rnacentral:rRNA from 1 species
UACGAAGGGGGCUAGCGUUGCUCGGAAUUACUGGGCGUAAAGCGCACGUAGGCGGCUUCUUAAGUCGGGGGUGAAAUCCUGGAGCUCAACUCCAGAACUGCCUUCGAUACUGGAAGACUCGAGUCCGGGAGAGGUGAGUGGAACUGCGAGUGUAGAGGUGAAAUUCGUAGAUAUUCGCAAGAACACCAGUGGCGAAGGCGGCUCACUGGCCCGGUACUGACGCUGAGGUGCGAAAGCGUGGGGAGCAA